AUGGCCACCCUCCACCAAAUCCUUAUGGAGUUCCAAGCAAUGCCCUUUGCCAUCCCUUUUGCUCUUGCCGCUGUCUCUUGGCUCUUCUUGUAUUACAUCAGAGUUUCCUACUUUACCAACAACAACAAGAGUGCUUAUGCCAAGCUCCCUCCAGUUCCAGUGGUUCCUGGGCUGCCGGUGAUCGGGAAUUUGCUGCAACUCAAGGAGAAGAAACCGUACAAGACUUUCACGAGGUGGGCUGAGGAGUAUGGUCCAAUCUAUUCCAGCAGGACUGGAGCUUGCACCAUGGUCGUUCUCAAUAGCUCCCAAGUUGCCAAAGAGGCCAUGGUGACCAGAUAUUCAUCUAUCUCAAACAGAAAGCUGUCAAACGCAUUAAAGAUUCUUUCUGCUGAUAAAUGUAUGGUUGCAUUAAGUGACUACAAUGAUUUUCACAAGAUGAUAAAGCGAUACAUUCGCGCAAAUCUUCUUGGAUCCAGAGCUCAGAAGCGACUCCGGACCAACAGAGAUACCUUGAGAGCAAAUGUCUUGAGCCAAUUAAAAUCUCAUGUAAAGAACUCACCUCAAGAAGCUGUGAAUUUUAGAAGAGUUUUUGAGUCGUAACUUUUUGGACUUGCAGUGAAGCAGGCCUUUGGAAAGGACAUAGAAAAUCCCAUUUAUGUGGAGGAACUUGGUGCUACACUUUCAAGAGAUGAGAUUUUUAAGGUUCUAGUGCGUGACAUAUUGGAGGGUGGAAUUGAGGUUGAUUGGAGAGAUUUCUUCCCUUACCUGAGAUGGAUUCCUAAUAAGACCUUGGAAACGAAAAUUCAGCGACUUCAUUCUCGGAGGAAAGCAGUGAUGACUGCCCUGAUCAACGAGCAGAAGAAACGAAUUGCUUCAGGAGAGGAAAUAAUGGAGGGGAGGACACUGAUAAUGGACCAAAUAACUAUGUUGGUUUGGGAGACUGUUAUUGAAACAUCAGAUACUAUAAUGGUAACAACAGAAUGGGCUAUGUAUGAAAUCGCUAAAAAUCCGAAGCAACAGGAUCGUCUCUAUCAGGAAAUCCAAAAGGUAUGCGGGUCGGAGAUGGUGACUGAGGAAAACUUGUCCCAACUGCCAUACCUGACUGCAGUUUUCCAUGAGACUCUAAGGAAGCAUAGUCCGGCUGCGUUAGUUCCUUUACGAUAUGCAGAUGAAGAUACCCAACUAGGAGGUUACUACAUUCCAGCUGGAACUGAGAUUGCGAUAAACAUAUACGGGUGUAACAUGAACAAGCAUCAAUGGGAAAGCCCCGAUGAAUGGAAGCCGGAGAGAUUUUUGGACCCGAAAUAUGAUCCAAUGGAUUUGUACAAGACCAUGGCUUUCGGGGCAGGGAAAAGGGUAUGUGCUGGUUCCCUUCAGGGAAUGUUAAUCGCAUGCCCGACGAUUGGAAGGCUGGUGCAGGAGUUUGAGUGGAAGCUGAGAGCUGGAGAAGAAGAAAAUGUAGAUGUUCAUGGGUUCACCACUCACAAACGCGAUCCAACGCACGCGAUCCUGAAGCCAAGAAGUUAG